rnacentral:rRNA from 1 species
UACAGAGGGGGCUAGCGUUAUUCGGAAUUAUUGGGCGUAAGGCGGCGUAGCGGCCAUGCGUGUCUUCCGUGAAAUCCCUCGGCUUAACUGAGGACGUGCGGAAGAAACUGCAAGGCUCGAGUCCGGGAGAGGGGGGGUGGAAUUCCCAGUGUAGCGGUGAAAUGCGUAGAUAUUGGGAGGAACACCGGUGGCGAAGGCGGCCCCCUGGACCGGUACUGACGCUGAGGCGCGAAAGCGUGGGUAGCAAACGGG